ensembl:lncRNA
GUGCUGUAAUUCAGGGUUGCAGUUGAGAGCAGGGGCUUUGAAUCUGGCAGGCCUGGGGUGUAAAUCUGGGCUAUGCCAGUUGGAAAUGUGUGACCUUGGGCAAGAGAUGUAACCUCUGUGGCCCCAGUUUUCUCAGCUGUGAAGCAAAGAGGAUAACAGUUGCAAUAUGGUAAAGAUUUUGAAGAUCUAAUUCGUGUAAAGUGCUUUGUAUAAAGCCUGAUAGAGAGGCUGCUGCUGCUGCUGCUAAGUCACUUCAGUCCUGUCCGACUCUGUGUGACCCCAUAGACGGCAGCCCACCAGGCUCCCCCAUCCCUGGGAUUCUCCAGCUUGCUGCGAGCCUGGCACGGGCCUGACCUCCUUCCUUCCCAAGAGGAAAGGGAGGGCCACCACCUACCCAGGCAGGAUGUGGGGGAGAAACCUGACAUCCUUCGCAGACCUGCUCGCUCGCCCCCGAACCUGCCCUCAUCGGCUCCACCUGCUCUCCUGAAGGUAGCCUGGACUCAGCGCUCUGAGAGGCGUCCUGCAGAGCGCGCGGAAAAUGUGGCUUUUGCAGGGCUGGGUCUGUCCACCUACUGCAGUGCCCAAAGUCCGAUGCCCUCCACAGUUUGGCCAAAUCUACUUUGCCGGCCUCGUCUCCGCGAUUUCCUCCCUGGGGUAGACUAGGGUUAGAGCCGGACGGGUGGGGAGCCGAGGCAAACAAACAACUCUGGGCGUGUCAGCCCCGCCCCGACCAGGGCACUGCCGAGUCGGGAUUGGCUGAUGUCGCCUGUAUUCUGGUUGGUCGGGGGAGGGUGCUCAUUCACAGGGAGCGCUGCUCCACUCGGGCUGGAAGUUUCCUACGCUGCUUCGCUUUCUGCACUCUGCACAAAAGUUGUACCACCUUGUAUGUAAACAGAUAAAAUCAAGUUAUCUAAUGUGCCUCCGAAUAUAACGUUGGCCCCUUGAAGGAUGGCCGAAUCUGUCAGCUUGCUGUAUCCUAUUUCUAAAUCACACACGUGAGGGUGAGUGGGGAGAGGCUUGCGGGAAGAUGCUGGGGGCUGCGGUUUGUCUCCCCCGGGGGAGGCUAUGGCUUACCUGGGGGCCGUUUGUUGGGUUAGCUUUUCAGAAGACGCAUUUCCCCUUUCUAUCAUCUACACUUACACUUCACAUUUCCCUGCCUUCUGUCGUGCUGUUCCACAUGGUAGGGGUGCUUUUCCUUCUCAUUUAUUUUUGUUGCUCUUGUUGGUUUUUUUUUCAACUUUUUAUUUUGUAUUUGAGUAUAGCCGAUUAACGGGCUUUCCCGGUGGUUCAGCGGUGAAGAAACAGCCUGCAAGGCAGGAUGACCCAGGAGAUGCGGGUUGGAUCUCUGGAUUGGGAAGAUCCCUUGGAGUAGGGCAUGGCAACCCACUCCAGUAUUCUUGCCUGAAGAAUCGCAUGGUCUGAGGAGACUGGUGGACUACAGUCCUUAAGAGUUGCAGCACGACUUAAAGACGCAGUAGGGCACGACUGAAACGAUGCAGCUCGCAGGCACACAUAGCCCUGUCACAAUGUCUUGAUGGUUUCCGGUGAAAAGCAAAGGGACUCAGCUAUACAUAUUCCCCAAACAUCCUUCCCACCCAGAUGGGCACAAAACAUUGAGUAGAGUUCCAUGUGCUAUACAAUAGGUCCUUAUUGGUUAUUUAUUUUGAAUACAUAAGUGUACAUGACCUUCCCAAACUCCCUAACUAUUCCUCCCCUCCCGCAGCCAUAAAUUCCUAUUCUAAGUCUGUGUCCUUUUCUCUGUUUUGU